rnacentral:lncRNA from 1 species
GUGGAAUUCAGAAGCCAUAUAGACAAGAGCUGGGAAAACAGCAAUGGAUUAAUAACAAGAAAUUAAUGGUGAAGUGGUGACGAAAAUUCUACAUUGCUUAGAAAGCAAAUAGUGAAAUGAACAUUUACAUUCUGGCAACCUCAGAAGUACAAUGAACAAAGGACACCAGCCAGGUAGGGCAAAGGCCUGUGCACCCCCUUUUGCUGUUACAUGUUUAUCAGAUGCGUGCUCUGUUUCUGUUAUAUUACAUUACUUUUCUCUUCAAUGUUUACUGAGGAAGAACAAGUAGCUCCUCAGGCAAAUCAACUGUUAACUUUGCAGUUUUUAUUUAAUCUCCCAGGAAUGUAACCCUUAACUUUAAAGAAUGUAGUGACCAUAAAACUUAUAAAGCAUGUUUCUUAAGGAAAUUGUACCUGUUUAUUUAAUCUAUCAGAUAUGAAUGUUAUAGAAAAUUAAAUUUGUCCACUUAAGCUGUAGAUGAACUUUUCACCUUUCUGAUCAGAAAUUCACCAUCUUAUAGUAUAGGUUCUGUUAUUAAUCAGAAUAUUUCAUUUAGACUCUUUCUAUCCAACUUUUUCUUAGAGGCUAUUCAAAAUAAAGGUGCUUCUAACAGUUUCAUAUCGAAAUACGAUGCAAAGCCUUGCUCUUCCAUGGUAUCCUUUGAGUGAGCCAAACUUAUUUAGCCAUUCCCCUAUAGUUAAAUAGCUAGGAUGUUUCCAACAUCUCACCUUUAAAACAAUAGUGCUAUGAAUGUCAUAAAUGUUUGUAUAUGUAAAUAUGUGGGAUAAAUCCCUAUCAGUAGAAUUUCAAAAGGUAUACGCAAUCAGUAUUUUCAUACAUAUUUAAAAUUUUCCAUCCAUACAAAGGUUGCUAACAUAUUUAUUUAAAAUUUUAAAAAUAAUUUUAUAUGCCUCUUGUAACCAGUAAUAGGAUGCCAAGUUUUUUUUUAAGGUAACAUUGCUCCUCUUCCCCCAUUGUCUCUGUCAUCUAUAGUACUCCCUGAGGUAGUUCAUGUUAUUGCAAGGGUGUGUAUCAUCACAAACAUAUUGCUUCCACAUACAUAUAUCAGCAUACAUAUAUAUAUAUAUAUAUGUAUAGCAUAUAUAUAUAUGAGCACAUAUUAAUAUAUGCCCAUGCACAUACAAGCAUGUUUUUGUUAAUUUUUACUGAAAUGGAAUCAUACUACAUACUUAUGAACAAAUUGCUUCUUUCACCUUAUAUCACUUAUAAUUGUUAUUCUACAAAUCAGUACAUAUAAAAAAUACAUAUUUACAUAUGUAAUACUCUAUCUUUCUGUUAUAAUUUUCUGCAUGCACAUGUAUGCAUAUACAUAUAUUCAUAAACAUAAAACUUAAUCUAAACGGGAUUUUUUUUUGGGGGGGUGAUAUGGUUUGGCUGUGUCCCCACCCAAAUCUCAUCUUGAAUUCCCAUGUGUUGUGGGGGGACCCGGUGGGAGGUAAUUGAAUUAUGGGGGCAGGUCUUUCCUGUGCUGUUCUUGGGAUAGUGAAAAAGUCUCACAAGAUCUGAUGGUUUUAAAAAGGUGAGUUUCCCUGCAUAAUCUCUCUUCUCCUGUCUGGUUCCAUGUGAGAUGUGCCUUUUGCCUUCCGCCAUGAUUGUGAGGCCUCCCCAGCCAUGCGGACCCGUAAGUCCAAUAAACCUCUUUCUUUUGCAAAUUGCCCAGUCUCAGGUAUGUCUUUAUCAGCAGCAUAAAAAUGAAACAAUACAGUAAAUUGGUACAAGUAGAGUGGGGCGCUGCUGAAAAGAUACCUGAAAAUGUGGAAGAAACUUUGGAACUGGGCAACAAGCAGAGGUUGGAACAGUUUUGAGGGCUCAGAAGACAGGAAUAUGUGGGAAAGUUUGGAGCUUCCUAGAGACCUGUUGAAUGACUUUGCCCAAAAUGCUGAUAGUGAUAUGGACAAUAAAGUCCAGGCUGAGGUGGUCUUAGAUGGAAACAAGAAACUUGUUGGGAACUGGAGCAAUGGUGACUCUUCUUAUGUUUUAGUAAAGAUACUAGGGGCAUUUUGCCCCUGCCAUAGAUAUAUGUGAAACUUUUAACUUGAGAGAGAUGAUUUAGGGUACCUGGCAGAAGAAAUUUCUAAGCAGCAAAGCAUUCAAGAGGUGACUUGGCUGCUGUUAAAGGUAUUCAGUUUUAUAAGGGAAGCAGAGCACAAAAGUUUGGAAAAUUUGCAGCUUGACAAUGUGCUAGAAAAGAAAAUCCCAUUUUCUAAGGAGAAAUUCAAGCUGGCUGCAGAAAUUUGCAUAAGUAACAAGGAGCUGAAUGUUAAUCCCCAAGACAAUGGGGAAAGUGUCUCCAGGGCAUGUCAGAGUUCUUCAUGGCAACCCCUCCCAUCACAGGCCCAGAGGUUUAGGAGGAAAAAGUGGUUUUGUGGGCUAGGCCCAGGGUCCCUCUGCUGUAUGCAGUCUAGGGACUUCAUACCCUGCAUCCCAGCCAUGAAUGAAAGGAGCCAAAGUACAGCUCUGUCUGUUGCUUCAGAGGGUGCAAGCCCCAAGCCUUGGCAGCUUCCACAUGGCUUUGAGCCUGCGGGUGCACAGAAGUCAAGAAUUGAGGUUUGGGAAACUCCUCCUAGAUAUCAGAAGAUGUAGAAGUUUGCUGUAGGGGUGGGUCCCUCAUGGAGAACCUCUGCUAGGGCAGUGUGAAAGGGAAAUGUGAGAUUGGAGCCCCCAAACAGAGUACCUACUGGGGCACCAUCUAGUGGAGCAGUGAGAAGAGGGCCACUGUUCUUUAGACCCUGGAAUGGUAGAUCCAUGGACGGCUUGCACUGUGCACCUAGAAAAGCCACAGACACUCAAUGCCAGCCUGUGAAAGCAACCUGGAGAGAGGCUGUACCCUGCAAAACCUCAGGGGCAGAGCUGCCCAAGACCAUAGGAACCAACCCCUUGCAUCAGCAUGACCUGGAUGUGAGACAUGGAGGCAAAGGAGAUCAUUUUGGAGCUUUAAGAUUUGACUGUCCCACUGGAUUUCAGACUUUCAUGGGGCCUGUAUCCCCUUUGUUUUGGCCAAUUUCUCCCAUUUGGGAUGGCUGUAUUUACUAAUGCUGUACCUCCAUUAUAUCUAGGAAGUAACUAACUCGCUUUUGAUUUUACAGGCCCAUAGGUGGAAGGGACUUGCCUUGUCUCGGAUGAGACUUUGGACUUUGGACUGUGGACUUUUGAGUUAACACUGAAAUGAAUUAAUGCUGAAAUGAAUUAAGACUUUGGGAGACGGUUGAGAAGCCAUGACUCAUUUUAAAAUGUGAGACAUGCCUUUCACCUUCUGCCAUGAUUGUGAGGCCUCUCCAGCCAUGUGGAACUGUGAACACACAGUGUUCAUCCCCUCAGGAGGACACAGCUUUUGAGGUACCAUCUUGGAAGCAGAGACCAGCCCUCACUAGACACAAACUUCCUGGCACGUUGAUUUUGGACUUCAUAGCCUCUAGAACUGUGAGAAAUAAAUUUUUAUUAUUUAUAAAUUACCCUGUAUUGGAUAUUUUGUUAUAGCAGCACAAAAGGUCUAAGACAAU